rnacentral:tRNA from 1 species
GCAGUUGUGGCCGAGUGGUUAAGGCGAUGGACUAGAAAUCCUUUGGGUACGUCUCUCCGCACAGGUUCGAAUCCUGUCGACUGUG